CAAGGGAGCGUUGUAGCAUACAUAGGUGCUUUUCGUGGGCUUGGACUUUAGCUGACAGGGCAUGCAUUUGGGUUUGGUGGGACCCCCUUUCAUCCUCUAGAUCCCGCACCCUGCAGCCAACCUGUUUUAUUUCUGAGCGGAGGCCGUUCAUUUUAUGUUGGAAGGAAGUUUCCAGUUUGUUCAGCAUUUGUGCUAAGUCAUUUUUCGAUGGAAG